rnacentral:misc_RNA from 1 species
AAGUCGUAACAAGGUUUCCGUAGGUGAACCUGCGGAAGGAUCAUUAACGAAAUUAUGACUGGGGUUGUCGCUGGCCUAUAAAACGGCAUGUGCACGCCCCUUUCACAAUCCACACACACCUGUGCACCUUCGCGGGGGUCUUCCUUAUCGGAAGGCUCGCGUCCCUUUACACACCCUCUGUAUGUCUUAAGAAUGUCUACUCGAUGUAAUAAAACGCAUCUAAUACAACUUUCAACAACGGAUCUCUUGGCUCUC